rnacentral:misc_RNA from 1 species
UAAUACAGCAGUUGGCAA